ensembl:lncRNA
UAACUUUUUAAUCACAAGAUUAAUUUGGGUUUGGAACCGCAGUAGGCAGGAAGGCUAAUCACUCUAUUUCAGUUUAGUUCGUUUUCUGCCAAAUUGUCCUCACAUCGCAGGGCACCCAGUGCUUGCACUAGACAGGAGCGCACCCACACAGCCUUCCCCCGCCUUGCAGGGAGCUGGAGACACCUUCUAGGGCCCGCCAAGGGACCUCGGAGGAGGCAAGGUGGCAAUAGGGGUUGAAGUCUCAGCACCAAAAAAGUUUGUGAAUUAUCCCAUUUCCAGAACUUUACCUAAGUAAAAUAGUUCUGAGAGAAGGCAGACCCCAGAAGGAUGGCCUCCGUCUUUAAAUAAGAGCAAGACGGAGACUUCCUAAGCCCUCAAUUACAGGGGACUGCUUCCCUGAGUUAUGGGACCUGCACGCCACGCACGGUGCUCUUGGAAGGCAUUAAGAUGGUGUUUUCAAAAAAAGUAUUUGAGUAGUUUUUCACGUCAUGCAUUAAACAGAGGGAGGGAAGUCAGAUUCGAAUCUGUAUAAAAUAGGUGCUCUUAAUUGUGUUUGAAACAAUGCAGAAAAAAGGGAAUGAGCAAAAACCAGCCAAGAGAAGAAAACGAUAGAUAUCUCCGGGUGGUUUUUGCUGACUUUGUACUGUGUGUGCGUGUGUGGUGUCUUCUAUAAUCAGCAUGAGCUGUUUUUGUUUUUGUUUUUGUUUUUUUUCACAAUAAAGGACAAUGAAAGAUGUUAGGUCAAAGUAUUUACCAAAUUUAAGCCAUUUAAGAAGAAUAAGGCUAAAACACUGCUCCGUCACUCUCACCCCCAACUCCCAGCUCAAAAAAAAGAAAAAAAAACUUGACGAAAUGUUGUACAGGUUUUUUAAAAUAGUGCAUUCUUCAUCCUCUGACUCCUUUUACAUUUGAAAGGCAUAUAUAUUAUGUAUCGUAAUUAUGUGAGGUACAUGUGUUCUCAUAUGCUGUAACAGCUUGAGAAUUGACUUUUGAAAGAACUGUCAGCAUGAGAUUCCCACAUNNNNNNNNNNNNNNNNNNNNNNNNNNNNNNNNNNNNNNNNNNNNNNNNNNNNNNNNNNNNNNNNNNNNNNNNNNNNNNNNNNNNNNNNNNNNNNNNNNNAAAGAACUGUCAGCAUGAGAUUCCCACAUCAUUCUGUAUUCAGCGCACCUACCCGCAAUACCUUUAUCCUGGCUACACGUUUCCCAAACAUCAGGUCAGGUGAGCCUUACUGCCGCAGGGCUAUUCAAUCCCUUGUUUCUAACAACACCAUCACCUGAAUAGUCUGCAGGUUGACAGCGGUAGGGAGGGGUAGUUCUCAGGUAGAAUAUAAUUAACCCUGGAACAACAUGGGGGUGAAGGCACCCAUCCUCCGUGCUGUGGAAAAUCCCGAUAUAACUUACAGCUGGCUCUUUGUAUCCAUAUUUCCUCUAGAUCCACGGUUCAGCCAAAUGGGGAUUAUAUAGUAUUAUUGGAUUUACUAUUGAAAAAAAGUGUGCGUAUAAGUGGAUUCAUGCCGUUAAAUCAGGGUUGUUUAAGGGUCAACAGUACAUAUAAGUUGCUGGGGAGAUGGUAAGACCUUCAAGACCCAGGAAAAGAAGGAAGAGAUCUUGUACCUGGUACAGAGUCCACUUAAGCUGAUAGGUGGACAGGUAGAUGGAUGGCUGAUGGUUGAGCAGAGAAUGGAUACUGGAGAGAGGAUGGAUUAGGGGGUGGGCGAGUGGACAGAUGAAUGGAUGGAUCUAGGGUGGACAGCUGUACUUAGGUGGGUGGCAUCCUCUCAGUCAUGUGUCUGCAGAUCAAGGACUAACUAAAGAGUUUAUCCUGUCUCACUGAGCAUGUGGCCACCCAACACCUACCCCUGUUCUCACCUCAUCUUCCAGCAAACCCUCCAGGUUCUGGAGGGGGCUCUUUGUUUACUGAACACUCACUCUGCCUGCACACCUUGCUCAAGCUACUCGUCCACCUGGACGCUAGCCUGGGCACUCCCAGCACUGGGUCUGAAGGACUGCACUCUGUUCUAGAGUUUCUGUCCCGUCUCUGUGAAGUGGUGGGGUCAAAGGAGGCGCCCAGUGAAUGUCUGUUGAAUGAAGAAGGCUGAUCUGUGAGGAAAAGCUGCCAAGUUUGGGAGGCGGGGGAGUGGGGGGCUUUCGCGAGCCUCUCACUGCCCAGUGAUGUCACCUACAGUCAGUGACGUGUGUUUACACUCCCAUCCUGUACCUGACCGCUAACCAACCACAUCAUGAAAAGAGUGGGGUGUCUAACUUCCCUCCGCACAGAGCCCUGGCUUCCACCACCCCUACCCCUCACCCUCCAGCCAACAAAGAGCUUGUUUAUAAACCGCAGAGCCAGGCCAUGCCCAAACACUCCCCGGAAUAAAAAGGAUUAGGGUCCCGCUCCUCUCCGUCAGGCUCUGCCCGUGGCCAGGGAGGCUGGUUUCCUGCCUGCUCUGCGGGCCGGGCGGCACGAGGAAUGUUAAUUCUGAAGAUUACAGGCCAGGUGCUUACAGAGCCCGGGCCCAGAGCAGAGGAAAGGCAGCGGAAGGGACUGCUCGCAGUCUGCGCUCGGCGAGGCCAGCAGGCCUUGGCGGCUGUGCCAAAGUCUAAGGCCGUGGUGUUCGGGAAGAAGUCAGGAUACAAACGUGU